GGAAUGAUUUCUGGAUUUGUACAAAAUGGGUUUAUGCGUGAGGCUUCAAAUUUGUUUCGUGAGAUGAUAUAUGUUAGUGUCAAACCAGACUCAAUCACCUUUGCAAGCUUCCUUCCAUCAGUUACUGAAAUUGCAGGUCUCAAACAAGGGAUGUGGGGAUGGCACGCAAGGUUUUUGGCCAAAGCAACACAGUUGAUGUCAUCGUGUGCACAUCUAUGAUUUCAGGUUUUGUGCUUAAUGGAAUUAAUAGUGAUGCUUUGGAAAUUUUCAGAUGGUUAC